CCUACGGGAGACAGCAGUGGGGAAUAUUGGGCAAUGGGCGCAAGCCUGACCAAGCAACGCCGCGUGAAGGAAGAAGGCUUUCGGGUUGUAAACUUCUUUUCUCAGGGACGAAGCAAGUGACGGUACCUGAGGAAUAAGCCACGGCUAACUACGUGCCAGCAGCCGCGGUAAUACGGAGGUGGCAAGCGUUAUCCGGAUUUACUGGGUGUAAAGGGCGUGUAGGCGGGAAAGCAAGUCAGAUGUGAAAACCAUGGGCUCAACCUGUGGCCUGCAUUUGAAACUGUUUUUCUUGAGUACUGGAGAGGCAGACGGAAUUCCUAGUGUAGCGGUGAAAUGCGUAGAUAUUAGGAGGAACACCAGUGGCGAAGGCGGUCUGCUGGACAGCAACUGACGCUGAGGCGCGAAAGCGUGGGGAGCAAACAGGAUUAGAUACCCCUGUAGUC
rnacentral:rRNA from 1 species